GGGGAAUUAGCUCAAAUGGUAGAGCGCUCGCUUAGCAUGCGAGAGGUAGCGGGAUCGAUGCCCGCAUUCUCCAGUGUUUUCAGUAUUGAUGUUGUCAAAAACCACACAGCAGUGUUCAAAAGUAUUUUCCUAUUUACGCUUAAGUUUUCUUGUAUGAUGGUGUACAGAAACCUGAAAGAACUGUAAAUUAAAAAAAAAA